rnacentral:tRNA from 1 species
GGCAGUUUAGCUUACAGGUAAAGCUCGUGACACGUAAUCACAGGGAUGUGAGUUCGAGUCUCAUGGCUGGCC